rnacentral:rRNA from 1 species
AUACGUAGGGGGCUAGCGUUAUCCGGAUUUAUUGGGUUUAAAGGGAGCGUAGGUGGAUUGUUAAGUCAGUUGUGAAAGUUUGCGGCUCAACCGUAAAAUUGCAGUUGAAACUGGCAGUCUUGAGUACAGUAGAGGUGGGCGGAAUUCGUGGUGUAGCGGUGAAAUGCUUAGGUAUCACGAAGAACUCCGAUUGCGAAGGCAGCUCACUAGACUGUUACUGACACUGAUGCUCGAAAGUGUGGGUAUCAAACAGGAUUAGAUACCCUGGUAGUCCACACAGUAAACGAUGAAUACUCGCUGUUUGCGAUAUACAGUAAGCGGCCAAGCGAAAGCAUUAAGUAUUCCACCUGGGGAGUACGCCGGCAACGGUGAAACUCAAAGGAAUUGACGGGG